rnacentral:rRNA from 1 species
GAUGAACGCUGGCGGCGUGCUUAACACAUGCAAGUCGAGCGAAGCAUUUUAAAGGAAGUUUUCGGAUGGAAUUUAAAAUGACUGAGCGGCGGACGGGUGAGUAACGCGUGGGUAACCUGCCUCAUACAGGGGGAUAACAGUUAGAAAUGACUGCUAAUACCGCAUAAGCGCACAGUGCUGCAUAGCACAGUGUGAAAAACUCCGGUGGUAUGAGAUGGACCCGCGUCUGAUUAGGUAGUUGGUGAGGUAACGGCCCACCAAGCCGACGAUCAGUAGCCGACCUGAGAGGGUGACCGGCCACAUUGGGACUGAGACACAGCCCAAACUCCUACGGGAGGCAGCAGUGGGGAAUAUUGGACAAUGGGGGAAACCCUGAUCCAGCGACGCCGCGUGAGUGAAGAAGUGUUUCGGCAUGUAAGGCUCUAUCAGCAGGGAAGAAAAUGACGGUACCUGACUAAGAAGCCCCGGCUAACUACGUGCCAGCAGCCGCAGUAA